rnacentral:rRNA from 1 species
CCCCAGACUCCUACGGGAGGCAGCAGUGAGGAAUAUUGGUCAAUGGCCGAGAGGCUGAACCAGCCAAGUCGCGUGAGGGAAGAAUGUCCUAUGGAUUGUAAACCUCUUUUGUCAGGGAGCAAAGUCACCCACGUGUGGGUGUUGGAGAGUACCUGAAGAAAAAGCAUCGGCUAACUCCGUGCCAGCAGCCGCGGUAAUACGUAGGGUGCAAGCGUUAUCCGGAUUUAUUGGGCGUAAAGGGCUCGUAGGCGGUUCGUCGCGUCCGGUGUGAAAGUCCAUCGCUUAACGGUGGAUCCGCGCCGGGUACGGGCGGGCUUGAGUGCGGUAGGGGAGACUGGAAUUCCCGGUGUAACGGUGGAAUGUGUAGAUAUCGGGAAGAACACCAAUGGCGAAGGCAGGUCUCUGGGCCGUUACUGACGCUGAGGAGCGAAAGCGUGGGGAGCGAACAGGAUUAGAUACCCCUGUAUU